rnacentral:lncRNA from 1 species
GUAUUUUUACUUAAUUUGAUAUGGAUUCAUCUCUUUAGCCGCUCCUCUACUGGUUCUUUGGUUGCUGCUCUUCGUUGGCUUGCUAUCAAUGGAUUUAAUUUAUUUUCAGGGUUAAUUUUGUAACAAGUUUAAAGCUUAGUAAGCUUUAGCUUGAGGGGGAGUGUUAGAAUAGAAAAUAUUAUAAUAUUAUUUGUUGAGAAAAUAUCUCG